ACAGGAAGUCUGUUAGCCAGGGACUCACAGAUAAUGCCUCUGUGGCGUGCCAGUGGGUAUCCGUGAGAGGGGAAGGCUGCUGGGUUCUGAUAUUACAUCCUCAUAAGUACUAUGGGAAAACUCUUUAAAAGCUCAUGGUUUGUGGUCUAUGCUGGUUUUUGUAAUUGUGUCGUCGUGGCAACCAUUUGCAAAGCAUCCCAAGUACUUCUGCCGCUCUGAAGCCCCACCCGGAUUCUCCCUGACUUUAUGGGAAACCCAGAUCUUAGGAAGUGAGCUGAGACAUUAGAAACAAAGAAACAAACAAGCCUCAAGUAUCUUUAGGCAACUACUUUUUUAGGUUUUAAAAGAUUUUAUGGAGAGGGUUCCCAAGGAGGCCAGAAGAGAAUGUUCAGCCCCCCUGCACUGGACUUACAGUUUGUGUCUGGGGAUUGAACUCGGGUCAUCAGGAUACAAGCAUCUAUACCACUGAGCCAUCUCUCCAGCCAGCACCUUUGAUUCUGUGUUGAUUGUUCCUGUUGGAAAGAGGCUAGAGUCAGCCCAUGAGGUAUACAAACCAGACAGCACAGUCUUGAGAAGAGGGUUCAGCCAAGAUCUCAGUGCUCACUUGCCUUCUGUAGCGGGCAUCCCCGCAAGCAGAGCUCACUUGUGCAAUCCCGGGAACUGGGCUGUCUUGUUGGCUGGAAAACACAAGAUCUUCCGGCUAUGCACGUGGGUGUCUGGGUAUCACCGGAUGGUGCUUUCACUGUUAUCUGAGUAAGAGCAGAAGUCUGGAGGCUGUCCGGGCACAUCAAAGCAUGUGCAGAGCUCAGAUAAAGGCCUUCUGGUUGCGCCCUCCUCAUUGCCUGCGGGAGAACGUGGGGACCAUGCUCAUCCCGGAACGUUCAACGGGUUCAGAUUUCAUGGAGUAAACUCAACCUUGUUGGUCGUUGGUUCCAGAAAAUUCUCCUUGGCCCUCACUCAGCCCUUCUCCUAGCUCAGAGAGAAUUCCUUCCGAACUGCGCCUUUACCUUCCUGUGGUCCACCCCUCCUCUGUAAAGAUUCCUUUACACUUGGAGCAUCUCUUAUUUUUGCUCACAGCCUCACUGGCAAAUAAAUAAAGAGAAGUAUAUAAACACACA
rnacentral:lncRNA from 1 species